CCUACGGGAGGCAGCAGUAAGGAAUAUUGGUCAAUGGACGCAAGUCUGAACCAGCCAUGCCGCGUGAAGGAUUAAGGCCCUCUGGGUUGUAAACUUCUUUUAUAGGGGACGAAAAAAGGGCAUUCUUGCUCACUUGACGGUACCCUAGGAAUAAGCACCGGCUAACUCCGUGCCAGCAGCCGCGGUAAUACGGAGGGUGCAAGCGUUAUCCGGAUUUACUGGGUUUAAAGGGUGCGUAGGUGGGUUGGUAAGUCAGUGGUGAAAUCUUCGAGCUUAACUCGGAAACUGCCAUUGAUACUAUCAAUCUUGAAUCAUCUAGAGGUAAGCGGAAUAUGUCAUGUAGCGGUGAAAUGCUUAGAUAUGACAUAGAACACCAAUUGCGAAGGCAGCUUACUAUGGAUGCAUUGACACUGAGGCACGAAAGCGUGGGGAUCAAACAGGAUUAGAUACCCUGGUAGUCCACGCCCUAAACGAUGGAUACUCGACAUUUGUGAUAUACAAUAAGUGUNUGAGNGAAGACGAUAAGUAUACCACCGCGGUAAGGUACGACGCGAGUAGUUAAGUUACAAGAGAGUUAGNGNGNGAGAGCGACGACGACGACGACGGAGGAGGAGG
rnacentral:rRNA from 1 species